rnacentral:lncRNA from 1 species
AUAUUGCCCUGUCCUUCUAGCCACCAAUCCAAUCCCUCAAUCAAUUCCCAAAACGAGCUGCCUCCACGAGUCUUCUGCCUCGGGACACGUGGAGGCUUAUCCCGGGUCUAGCACAUUUAUUUCUGACUUUUUCAUCUUCAUUCCAUUAGGUUAUGCGAACCCUAAUUUGCACAUUUAAUGAGGUCGUGGAACCCUAAUUGUGCAUUUAAUUCAAUUAGGUCAUGUGAACCCUAAUUUUGCACUUGGGCCCACAUUUGCCCCCUGCGCGAGAGUCGCAUUCCCAAAUAGACGAUCGUGCAAGAAAAUUUUAACCCUUUGAAUGAUUUUGCAGGGCUCUUUCUUAGACAAAUUGG